UACGGGGGGGGGCAAGCGUUGUUCGGAAUUACUGGGCGUAAAGGGCUCGUAGGCGGCCAACUAAGUCGGACGUGAAAUCCCCAGGCUCAACCUGGGAACUGCGUCCGAUACUGGAUGGCUUGAAUUCGGGAGAGGGAUGCAGAAUUCCAGGUGUAGCGGUGAAAUGCGUAGAUAUCUGGAGGAAUACCGGUGGCGAAGGCGGCAUCCUGGACCGGCAUUGACGCUGAGGAGCGAAAGCCAGGGGAGCAAACGGG
rnacentral:rRNA from 1 species